UACAGAGGUCUCAAGCGUUGUUCGGAUUCAUUGGGCGUAAAGGGUGCGUAGGCGGCGCGGUAAGUCGGGUGUGAAAUCUCGGGGCUUAACUCCGAAACUGCAUUCGAUACUGCCGUGCUUGAGGACUGGAGAGGAGACUGGAAUUUACGGUGUAGCGGUGAAAUGCGCAGAUAUCAGGAGGAACACCGGUGGCGAAGGCGGGUCUCUGGGCCGAUACUGACGCUGAGGAGCGAAAGCGUGGGGAGCGAACAGG
rnacentral:rRNA from 1 species